rnacentral:lncRNA from 1 species
AGCUACAAUGUUUUGUCAUUAUUCACUCUGAUGUGAAAAAGGCAGUGAAUUUAAUAGAAAAUAACUUCGUAGAGCAAAAUCUCAGGUGUGUUUUUUUAGUGCCGCAGUCUUGGAUGAUGGGUUCCUAGAAGCUCUCAACAUCUCUUCUUAAUUGGAGAAAGUGUUAAGCCCCAAAGUAGCUGGAGCAGUACAUCUUCAAUUUUUGACAAGAAAGCAGGAACUUGAUUACUUUGAGUGCUAUUCAUUAGUUUCUGCUUUCAUUGAGAAUGCAACAAAAGCCAACUAGGCUGCUGCUAACUCCUUGCUGGACUUCUUCUGCCACUGUCACAGGAACUGUAAUCUCACUGGACAAUUAACUAGGGAGUCUUUCAUCUUGAGUGACUGCUGCACAAAUGAUCUUCAAAGCAUUUUAGCCACCAGAGGAAUUCUCUUGAAAUACCCAAAAUCCAUCAGUAUCUUGAAUCAUGCUGGAUUUUGAAGAAUUCUUAACAAGCCAUGUAAAGGGGGCUCUCUGGCCUUGAAAUAGUGAUGUUUUUUAUACAGAAAGGAGAAUGCAGAAUGGUCAGACUACCAUGCACUGUUAAAUUUGAUUUCAAGAAAUUACAGGAAAACUUUCCAAAGUUCCAUCUCACAGAAAUUAUUUUUACAAAGAAUUCCAAGAUAAGUUUAGUUUUAUGGAAGACUUUUAUGUGGUUUUUACUCACUCUUCAUCUCAGACAUCAACAGAUGAUUACAUCACUUAUUUAGCUAGUAAAUUUAUUAAUAUAAAAACUCAGAGACAUUCCAAUAUCCACAUUGCUUACACCAUUAGGCAUAGAUUCAGUGUCAGCUAUGACAAUUGAAAAUAAGCUGUUUUGUGAUUUAAAGGUUUAAAUUUCUCUAACCAAACUGCUUGAUCCAGAUGCAGGACUGCAAAUGUUAAUAUUUGUUCUGGAAGAACAAUCAAAUAAGACUUAAGAGGAAAAGGAAUGGCCACAAUCCACCUGAAAUUUUUUUUUUAAAAAGUGUGCAGCCUACUAAAUCAGAAUGAAAAUAGAAGUACAAGAUUAUAAACAAAAUGCAAUCAAACUUUUCUUAAGCUUACCUAAAGUUAUUUCAUCUGAAAAUUUCAAGCAACUUUGUUCAACAUUAAAUUGACAAUCUAAACUAACAAGUCUUUUGAAUUUAUGCAUGGUAGUAAACAUUCUCUCUAUUAACUUUAUUACCUAAGGCUAAACCUAAAAUUUUUAAGCAAAAUUAGAAAAAUAGUCUUCACUCAUCAAAAAAUAAAGUUUGUUACAUUUAGUAUUUUCCCAAUAAAAUUGGUCGUUCUUGGUUUUUUAUUUGGAGAGUCUGUGCAAAAUGUCACUAAAAAUAAAUUAGCACUAGAAAUUAUUUCUAAAUACCAAA